GUGGCUGUAGCUCAGAUGGUAGAGCGCCUGGUUGUGGCCCAGGAGGUCGCGGGAUCGAUUCCCGUCAGUCACC
rnacentral:tRNA from 1 species